CUCACACACGCCGAGAGCCGGACACUGCGACGGACACGGCUGCGCCAGCCCCGCUCGCCGCGCCGGGAGGGAGCUGCAGCCCCGACCUGCAGCAACUGGUCCCCCGGGAUUCCGCCUAUUUUGUGGGGAACCAUCCGGAGGCGCGGAGCGGAACCGGUCCCGGCAGGGGAUGGAGAAGCCGGAGGUGCCGCGCACACGGCGCUCUCCGCUGCCAACCCCUGUCCAGUGCAGGAUGACGUGGCUGGCAGCCUGCCUGGGCCUGUGGCUCUUCCUGCAGCUCCCCACCUUGGGCGCUGGGACACGCGUGGUCUACAAAGUGCAGGAGGAACAGCCGCCCAACACACUCAUUGGGAGCUUGGCUGCCGACUACGGCUUUCCUGACGUGGGGCACCUCUAUAAACUGGAAGUGGGGGCUCCCUACCUGCGUGUGGAUGGCAAGACAGGGGACAUUUACACCACGGAGACCUCCAUCGACCGGGAGAGCCUGCGGGAGUGCCAGAGCCAGUUCCCAGGGGAACUCUGCUUCCUGGAGUUCGAGGUGUCCAUCACAGACCUGAUGAUGAACAGCAGCCCGCGCCUGCUGGAAGGGCAGAUUGAGGUGCUGGACAUCAAUGACAACACGCCCAACUUCGCCUCGCCUGUCAUCACACUGGCCAUUCCCGAGAACACCAACAUUGGGGCACUCUUCCCAAUCCCCCCAGCCAUGGACCGUGACGCAGGCGCCAACGGGGUUGCCUCCUAUGAGCUCCUGGCUGGGCCCGAGGCGCAGGAGCUCUUCGGCCUGCAGGUGGCUGAGGAUCAGGAUGAGAAGCAGCCGCAGCUGAUUGUCAUGGGGAACUUGGACCGGGAGCAGUGGGACUCCUAUGACCUGACCAUCAAGGUGCAGGAUGGAGGCAGCCCACCGCGGGCGAGCAGCGCCCUGCUGCGUAUCACCAUCCUGGACAUGAAUGACAACACCCCCAAGUUCGAGAAGGCCCUGUAUGAGGCGGAGCUCUCAGAGAACAGCCCCGUGGGGCACUCCGUCCUCCAGGUGAAAGCCAACGACUCGGAUCAGGGUGCCAAUGCCGAGAUUGACUACUCAUUCCACCAGCCUACAGACAUGGUGCGUCGCCUGCUGCGCCUGGACAGGACCACGGGCCUCAUCACUGUGCAGGGGCCCAUUGACCGGGAGGACGUCAAUAUCCUCAAGUUCUCUGUCCUGGCCAAGGACAAGGGGGCCAAUCCCAAGAGUGCCCGCACCCAGGUGGUGGUGACCAUCAAGGACAUGAAUGACAACGCCCCCUCCAUUGAAAUCCGGGGUAUUGGCCUCGUCACCCAUCAGGACGGCAUGGCCAACAUCUCCGAGGAUGUGCCCGUGGAGACGGCCGUGGCUCUGGUACAGGUGUCUGACCGGGAUGAGGGUGAGAACGCUGUGGUCACCUGUGUGGUUGCUGGCGAUGUCCCGUUCCAGCUGAGACAGGCCAGCGAGACGGGCAGUGACAGCAAGAAGAAGUACUUCUUGCAGACCACCACGCCGUUGGACUACGAGGCGGUGAAGGAGUACACCAUCGAGAUCGUGGCUGUGGAUUCGGGGAACCCACCCCUCUCCAGUACCAACUCCCUCAAGGUGCAGGUGGUGGAUGUGAACGACAAUGCCCCAGUCUUCAGCCAAAGCCUCACCGAGGUGGCCUUCCCCGAGAACAAUGCCCCUGAUGACCUGGUGGUAGAGGUGAGCGCCAGUGACGCUGACAGUGGCUCCAAUGCCAAGCUGGUUUACUCCCUGGUCAUGGACCCCUCCUCCAAGGGCUUCUUCUCCAUCGACCCUGACUCAGGCGAGAUCCGAGUGAAGACGGUGCUGGACCGGGAGCAGAGGGAGCGCUAUGAGUUCCUGGUGGUGGCAGCUGACAAGGGCAGCCCCAGUCUCAAGGGCACGGCAUCUGUGGCCAUCAAUGUCAUGGACAGGAAUGACAACGACCCCAAGUUUAUGCUGAGCAGCUACAACUUCUCAGUGAUGGAGAACAUGCCUCCCCUGAGCCCAGUGGGCAUGGUGACAGUGAUUGACGCUGACAAGGGCGACAACGCCCGAAUCCAGCUGUCAGUGGAGCAGGACAAUGGGGACUUUGUCAUCCAGAAUGGCACUGGCACCAUACUCUCCAGCAUCUCCUUUGACCGGGAGCAGCAGAGCACGUACACCUUUCGGCUCAAAGCUGUGGAUGGAGGGGACCCUCCCAGAUCCGCCUACGUGGGGGUGACCAUCAACGUGCUGGACGAGAAUGACAAUGCCCCUUUCAUCACCUCCCCUUCCAAUGCCUCUUACAAGCACAUCCUGCCCCACACCAGCCCCGGGCAGCAGGUCAGCAAGGUCAAGGCUGAGGACAUUGACUCGGGAGUCAAUGCAGAGCUGACCUACAGCAUCACGGGGGGCAACCCCUUCGAGCUGUUCCAGAUCUCACCGCAGAGCGGGGACAUCACGCUGGAGAAGGAGAUCCUGCGUAAGCACCAUGGCCUGCACCGCCUGGUGGUGCGUGUCAACGACAGGGGCAAGCCCUCGCGCCAUGGCACCGCGCUGGUGCACUUCUACGUCAAUGAGACCCUGGCCAACCGCACGCUGCUGGAGACCCUGCUGGGACACAGCCUGGACACGCCGCUGGACAUCGACAUUGCUGGCGACCCCGAGUACGAGCGCAGCAAGCAGCGCAGCAACAUUCUCUUCGGCGUCAUUGCUGGCAUCGUGGCCGUCACCCUGGUUAUUGUGCUGGUGGUGCUGGUGCGCUACUGCCGGCAGAGGGAGGCCAAGAGCGGCUACCAGGCGGGCAAGAAGGAGACCAAGGACCUGUACGCCCCCAAUCAGGGCAACAAGAGCAGCAAGAGUAAGAGCAAAGUGAAGAAGAGCAAGUCCCCCAAGCCGCCCAAACCGGCCGAUGACGAGGAGGAGACUGGGCUGCAGAAGUCCCUCAAGUUCAACCUCAUGAAUGACUCCGUCAGUGACAGCCCCCGCAUCCACCUGCCUCUCAACUACCCGCCUGGGAGCCCGGAUCUGGGACGCCACUACCGCUCCAACUCCCCACUGCCCUCCAUCCAGUUGCAGCCCCAGUCGCCCUCUGCCUCUAAGAAGCACCAGGUGGUGCAGGACCUGCCUGCCACUAACACCUUUGUGGGCACUGGGGACAACAACUCGACAGGCUCCGAGCAGUACUCUGACUACAGCUACCGCACCAACCCCCAGAAAUACACCAACAAGCAGUUACCUCAUCGCCGAGUGACAUUCUCUGCAGCUAAUCAGGCACAGGACUUGCAGGACCCCUCACAACAUAGUUACUAUGACAGCGGGCUAGAAGAGUCAGAAACUCCCAGCAGCAAGUCAUCAUCAGGGCCCCGAAUUGGGCCACUAGCUCUGCCUGAGGAUCAUUAUGAGCGCACCACACCCGAUGGUAGUAUUGGGGAGAUGGAGCACCCUGAAAACGGAGACUGUUCAAAGCCUAAGAGAUCUGAUGGGCGGAUGAUCAUCUUUUGAGAUCUCUUCUGCUGGAAGGCAAAGUGCAUAGUAGCUGUGUCUUUUCUUCUGCCAGAGAUACAUCCCUGCAGAGGCCACUGCCUUCCCUGCCCCUAAGCAGUGAUUGGCACUGUACCUAAUGCAAAGGACACCUCACCUCAUGGCACCGCUGUCCAAAGAGGGCUACUCAUCCUUGCCAAUUUACUCCUUCUCCCUGGCAUCAAAGAUGCCUCUCUUCUGCCUUCAGAGACUGAUUCCAAGGACAGUACAGAAGUCCUUUCCCCAAAGCUCUGCCUCAAACAAGAUGGGAUUGGCACUGAGCUGACCUGACUAGCCUCAACUGAGCCAGACCUCUGUUGCGUUCCACGUUGGCCAUACUAGCCUUACUGGGGUCCAUUAUGCCAUUUGCUCCAGAGCAGAUAGACCUCUAAUGCAUCCAAAAAGAGGAGGAAAUCCUGCUAUUCAACAACUUAAUUGGCCAGACCUGAUCAAGUUAACAGAAGGUCAGCAGCCACCCCAUCUCCACCCAAAGGAGUCAUCUUCAUUGCCUGAUGAGGCAGUAACACCAGUCCCUACCCCAGCGGUCGAUGACUUGAAAGCAUUCCAGGAUCUUCUGUAUCACCAUGCAGAGACCAUGAACAUCAAAACAACAGUCAAACAAGAGACGUUCCACACGUUGUUGGAUAUUCUCAAUUCAACUAUUCCAGACAGGAUUGCCCUUCCCAUCAAUGAAGGCAUACUGGAGCCAGCCAAGGGACUCUGGCACACCCCAGCCACUCUUCCUUGCACACUAAACAGUUGUAGAAAAUAUAUUGGGUGCCCCCAAAGGACUUUGAACAUGUUUAAGCCCCCCCCAAGCCCAGAGUUUUAGUAGUUUCUGCAGUCCAGGAGAAAUCCAGGUCUUCAAAAGGUACUCCUAAGGACAAAGACCCAAAUAAAUUAGACAAGUAUGAGGGCAAAGUGUCCUCCUUAGCCUCACUUCAGUUCAGGUAGGGGGAAGACUACUAGGCCUUAUUUGUGAAAUACAGCUUCCCCACCUGGGAGAUGGUCACUCCCUUCUUGUCAAAAAUCCCACAGGAGCACAAGAGGGAGUGAAAAGAAAUCUUAAAAGAAGACCAAAUGUUCAUGAGAAUGGCAUUGCAGGCACCCAUGGAUGCAUCUGAUGCAGUUGAGAGGUCGGUGGCUGUGGCUGUCACUAUGAGAUGGGCUUCUUGGAUGCUAGCAUCCAGAAUAUCUCAAGGGGUGUAAGCCACCAUCAGGAUCUGCCCUUUGAGGGGAUGGAACUCUUUAGUCAAAGAGCCAAUGAGCGGCUCCUGCGCUGGAAAGACUCAAGGGUUGCGUUAAACAGGUAUUGUCUGCAUAGGAAAACGUUUGCAGACAUUUCCAUUUGUAGCUGAUACAGCAUGUACAGAGAGAAAAAUAGAGACAUUUCUAUCAAAAACACCUGUAGCUUAGGAGGCUGUUCCUUGAGCUAGGACGCUGAGUUCCAAUCUCAAUUGUACUGACCCUGAGGCAUUUAAGGAUGUGCUACCACCCUGCUUUCUUUACAAUCAAAUUAAUACAGAGGUUAUACAAGGUCACUUCAGGUACACUUAAGAAUUGGGGCCAGGUCUCAAAUAUGUUAGGCCCAAAUCUUAACCACACUGCCUGUCAGUGCCCUGCCACAGCCUGGUGGUAACACAGCGUAGUGGGACACAACACCCUUGUCUGGGCCCUGUCCCUGAGAUUGGGAGGGUGGUGUAGGUUCUAGAAACUCCUUACUUUUCAGCACCUCCCCUAAGGCUGGAGUCUCAAAAUGGUAACAGCAGCAGGACAUGGUGCUGCUGUCACACUUAUUGUGACUUUUAGCUACAGGCUAGGGCACUCAGAUAGUAUGUGGGAGACCUGGGUUCAAUUCCCCCUUCUGCCUGAUUUGGGUAAAAGGUAUUUGAACAUAGGUCUACCACAUUAUAGGAGAGUAGCCUAGCCACUUGGCUAUGGGACAUCCAGUUCUGGGAAUUUUUCUAUCUCCCCUGUUGAAGCUGUUCCACUUCGUUUAAAUAAUUAUUGGAGUAGGGACAUGAACUUGGGUCACCCGUGUUGUCAGGUGUUGGACUGCAUGCAUGUAUUCUUUCUGCGUGUUGCACUGGCUUUGGCCAGAUAGCCCAUACAGCAUGUUCUGAUGGAACUGCCCAUUAAAACCACAAGACUUGGUUUAGUAGCGAAGGCACCCGGCCAGUUUUAUUGCCAAUGAAGUAUGGUGCUAAUGCCCCAGCUCAAUGGUUACAGGUACCCCAAAACACGUAUGUCCGUGACAAUGGACCAGCUCAGUGAAUGACAGGACUUUCCUAGGCCAGACAGAAACACUCCCUUCGAGGUUUCAUUUUGUACAUCAAUACAAACAUGCUACAUGUUGCCCCUCUGAUGUGAUUAGUUACUGCCCCCUGAUGUGGGUUGUUACCACCCAUUACCUUUUACAUGUUGAUUCGAUCAGAACAUCUUUAUCUAUGACCUUCCUGAUCCACUGUCAUCCUGACCUUAUCUUUAGGAGGAGUCAGCAUGUUCCUAUUAUCUUUAGGGAAUGUGUAGGCAUUGAGGUGUUCUAGUACCACCCUUCUGGAAUGUGUUUGUGUGAGUGCUCUGUGGCUAGCGCCUUGUAGGAAUGUGUGUUUUUGCAAUAUCAGCCCUGUUCUUGCCAGAUUCUGUGAGCAGGGCCUGCCUGUAGCUCACAAUCUGAUUUUGCUUUAUAUCACCAAAGCUUUGACUGCUGCUGUAGCUCAGGCCUCAUACAAGGGCUUAUGUUUCAGGUCCUCUUCUUACUACAAUGUGUGUUGUAAACCAGGGGUAUUCAAUAGGCAGACCGCGGGCCAAAUCCAGACUGCCAGAUGCUUUUGAAUGGACCCAAAAAUCUUUUUAUUUACUUAUUAUAAUUAUUGUUGUUUUAUUAUUUUCUCUGGAAUCUUGACUUUGACUAUACCAUGAUCAAGAAAUUUGGCCUUUGACAAAAAAAUAAUUGACUACCCCUCCACUAGGUUGUAAAGUCAGUCAUACAGGACAAUGAAUAGUGUGUUGCUCCCCAGGGGUAACCAGGGUUGUGAGGGAUCUCACCACUACUUGCCCUUAGCAUGAAACAGACUUAUCUGUGCCUGCUGUAGCUCAGCUCCCUGAAACCAACAGCCUCUGACAACACAAGCACUGUCUUCCAGGCCUCCGCAGACCUUGCUGUCUCUGUACAGGUUAGUGACAGGCACACACUGACCCCCGAGUCCUGAGAGCAUUCCAUGCAGUUCCCAGCCCUUAACCACUGGAUACUCAUAGAAAUUACCAGGUUUGCUGUCCUCAAAAGAACAGUGUACACACAGUUUGAAUAUUACAAUGCACUGAGAUAUAUUUAUAAUGAAAACAAUCAUAAAGUUAUUAUCAAAAGCUAAGAUUUAAGACAUAGUGCAUAAGCAUAAUGGAAACAAAAAUGGUUACACAUAAAACAAAGAUUCAUAGAGCCUAAACUUACCUUUAACUAGCUAAACCCUUUUCUGAAGUAGUUUGUCUCACCUAAAGCAAUCUCCCAGCAUCUCCAACCAACCUGGCUGGGAUCCCCCUUUCAUGAAUGCAAAAAACACUUUCCUUUUUGCUUCCUCAGUGUGCCUUCUUCUUAUACCCCCCACCCCAAAAUUCACUAUUUGCCCCCAGAAUAAGGGUGACCCCCCUCUCCCCGAAGACCUAUUUCCUGGUAUGCUGACUUCAUGUUGACUUCACAUCCUCAUGUAGACUUUAUAUGCACACAGAGCUUCCAUUGGGUUGGCCUACAAUGCUUAAUUUAUAUGUGACUGAGGCAGACAGGAAAAUAUACAUCCUUUGUCUGGCAGAAACCUGUUUGUUAACCCUGCUUUGAUUCAGACUUUAAAACAUAUUUUCCAGUAUAUACACAUAGUGUCAGUACAUAGACAUCACAAUAGUAUUAAUAACCAGUAUGAUCCUGGCUUUCAUUUUAGAUCUCACAUGACAUUCUUUAUAGAUAAAUACUACGAAAGCAGUGUGCUAUGUAUAGUGAGUUCGUCCGUUCGGAUGGAGCUGCUGUUACAGAACAGUGAACCCUUGCCAGGUGGCAUUGAGGGGUUCUUAGAGUCACAAAUACUCAAUGGACCAGGGCACCAGUAUGAGAAUGACUUAGCCUAGUGGUUAGGGUAUUCACAUGGGACACAGAUGUGAAAAACUUCUUCCUUGUUGUGUGGCCAUUUUGUUAAUCAACCUGCUUUGCUUUUGUUAAAGUGCCCAAAAUAGAAAUGAAAAAUUUUGUGCUUGUAAGAGACGUGAGGCAUAGGCAGUCUUGCCUAGCAGUCACAGCUGGACUGAGAUCUGCCCACCAGGGAUGGGAGUUGCCGGGCCAGAGUUAUAGGAAUCACAAGGCCAGGUUUCAUAAACAAGAGUCAGGGUCAGAGUCAGGAUGGGGCCAGAGAUCAGAGGUAGUACCAGGUUAGAAUCAAGAGGCAGGAAUCAGGGUCAUCAGAGUCAGCCUGGAGUCAGAGACCAGAGCUCAGGAGACAAGGCAAAGUCCAGCAUUGUAGCAGGCCAAGGUCUAUGUGGUUGCUUAGACAACUUCCUGAGCCAACACCUAGGAUUAAGUAGGGGCACUUGGCCAAUCAGAGGACUGCAGGGAACUGUCACUCUGGAUCUCGUGGGUGGUACUUCCUGCGAUGCCUAUUCUCCACAGCGCUUCCUGGCUGUGCCUCUGCAGGGCCUUCUGCUGGUAUGGUGGGAAUAUCAGCCACCCCAGGCUCUGCAGAUCUAGGUUUUAGUCCCUGCAUCCUUACAAAACUGAGGCAAUUGAAAUGUUUAAUUUCA